GCUUGUUUAUGAUUUGCGCCAAACCUAAACCAGUUGUACUAAAAAGCUGUCCGGUUCUUCAAAUCAGUGCGUGAAGCAAGCCUAAUACCAAUUGGAUUCAUACAAUACGGGCGAAAUCAUGCCGCACGCACGGGCGAAACAGCGCUGUCAAAACAGCUGUUGUUAUUGCUGCUGUUGCAGAUGUUGUUUUGAUCGCAAUCUGCGAAAUAGAGGAAAAUAAACUUUUCAUUAACGUUCCCUCGCGAUGUCGCACAAACGUAUUCUCUAAUCUCUACACUGUGAUGUGAUUUCUAAACAAUCAGAAACAUAGUGAUGUAUGUUGUUGUGUAAAAAAUAACAUUAUUCUAAAAAUACACGCACCCAGUAGUUCUUGCACAGUUUAGAUAAGAAACCGCGCUACACCUCAAAUCCUAUUUUGCUGCGUAAACCAAGCGCAUUGAACACAAAAAAGCGACGAUUUACGCUGAGUCAGGUUGUUAUCAAUUACCUGCCACGCAACCCUGAAUCAUUGGAUAUCUAAAAAUCGCCCCCCCUCAAUUUAGGACGCCUGUAAAAAAAAUCUACAGUCAAUUGUGUACAUAUACCAUUGAUAAGGGAGUAGUCCCUCGCUGAUUACGAAAUAAUAUUACUCAGUACAACCCAACGGAAAGCCUAAUCGUGGUGAUACUGAUUCACGUCAGUACACGCAAGGAAAUUGAACUAAAUCGUUGACGCUGAAUAAUAGUUAUGGUGUUUGUUGUAACUAUGUUUCGUAAAAUAUGGAAAUCGAUCACAUCGGUGUAUUUACUGUACGAACUCAAUACCUGCAUUUACAUGCUCGAUCCGUGGGAAAAGCGGUUUGUCAAUGCUUUCAUAUUUGCCAUUUUAGGAUUGCUGAUCUUCUCCAGCUACACAUUCCUUCCGGGAUACACACGGAAACUAAUUAAUGCAUUCCUUCCUGCGCAUUCCGCUCUGUCCG